UACAGAGGGUGCAAGCGUUAAUCGGAAUUACUGGGCGUAAAGCGUGCGUAGACGGUUAUGUAAGUCGGGUGUGAAAGCCCCGGGCUCGACCUGGGAAUGCCAUUCGAGACUGCAUAGCUAGGGUGCGGAAGAGGGAAGCGGAAUUUCCGGUGUAGCGGUGAAAUGCGUAGAUAUCUGGAGGAACUCCGGUGGCGAAGGCGGCCAUCUGGCCCAACAUUGACGCUGAGACCCGAAAGCGUGGGGAUCAAACAGG
rnacentral:rRNA from 1 species